rnacentral:rRNA from 1 species
AACGAACGCUGGCGGCAGGCUUAACACAUGCAAGUCGAACGCAUCGCAAGAUGAGUGGCAGACGGGUGAGUAACGCGUGGGAAUCUACCUAGUUCUACGGAACAACAGUUGGAAACGACUGCUAAUACCGUAUACGCCCUACGGGGGAAAGAUUUAUCGGAAUUAGAUGAGCCCGCGUAAGAUUAGCUAGUUGGUGAGGUAAUGGCUCACCAAGGCGACGAUCUUUAGCUGGUCUGAGAGGAUGAUCAGCCACACUGGGACUGAGACACGGCCCAGACUCCCACGGGAGGCAGCAGUGGGGAAUAUUGGACAAUGGGCGCAAGCCUGAUCCAGCCAUGCCGCGUGAGUGAUGAAGGCCUUAGGGUUGUAAAGCUCUUUCACCGAUGAAGAUAAUGACGGUAGUCGGAGAAGAAGCCCCGGCUAACUUCGUGCCAGCAGCCGCCGUAACAC